AUUGAACGCUGGCGGUAUGCUUAACACAUGCAAGUCGAACGGAAACAGGACGCUGUGAUCUCUUCGGAGUGAACUUGUCGCUGUCGAGUGGCGGACGGGUGAGUAAUACUUAGGAAUCUGCCCAGUAGUGGGGGACAACUUCCGGAAACGGGAGCUAAUACCGCAUACGCCCUAAGGGGGAAAGUGGAGGAUCUUCGGACUUCACGCUAUUGGAUGAGCCUAAGUCGGAUUAGCUUGUUGGUGGGGUAAUGGCCUACCAAGGCGACGAUCCGUAGCUGGUCUGAGAGGACGAUCAGCCACACUGGGACUGAGACACGGCCCAG
rnacentral:rRNA from 1 species